AGAUUGAACGCUGGCGGCAGGCCUAACACAUGCAAGUCGAGCGGUAGAGAGGUGCUUGCACCUCUUGAGAGCGGCGGACGGGUGAGUAAUGCCUAGGAAUCUGCCUAGUGGUGGGGGAUAACGUUCGGAAACGGACGCUAAUACCGCAUACGUCCUACGGGAGAAAGCGGGGGACCUUCGGGCCUCGCGCCAUUAGAUGAGCCUAGGUCGGAUUAGCUAGUUGGUGAGGUAAUGGCUCACCGAAGGCGACGAUCCGUAACUGGUCUGAGAGGAUGAUCAGUCACA
rnacentral:rRNA from 1 species